rnacentral:rRNA from 1 species
UGGCUCAGGACGAACGCUGGCGGCGUGCUUAACACAUGCAAGUCGAACGAUGAACCACUUCGGUGGGGAUUAGUGGCGAACGGGUGAGUAACACGUGGGCAAUCUGCCCUGCACUCUGGGACAAGCCCUGGAAACGGGGUCUAAUACCGGAUACUGAUCGCCUUGGGCAUCCUUGGUGAUCGAAAGCUCCGGCGGUGCAGGAUGAGCCCGCGGCCUAUCAGCUUGUUGGUGAGGUAAUGGCUCACCAAGGCGACGACGGGUAGCCGGCCUGAGAGGGCGACCGGCCACACUGGGACUGAGACACGGCCCAGACUCCUACGGGAGGCAGCAGUGGGGAAUAUUGCACAAUGGGCGAAAGCCUGAUGCAGCGACGCCGCGUGAGGGAUGACGGCCUUCGGGUUGUAAACCUCUUUCAGCAGGGAAGAAGCGAAAGUGACGGUACCUGCAGAAGAAGCGCCGGCUAACUACGUGCCAGCAGCCGCGGUAAUACGUAGGGCGCGAGCGUUGUCCGGAAUUAUUGGGCGUAAAGAGCUCGUAGGCGGCUUGUCGCGUCGGUUGUGAAAGCCCGGGGCUUAACCCCGGGUCUGCAGUCGAUACGGGCAGGCUAGAGUUCGGUAGGGGAGAUCGGANNCANCNGGUGUAGCGGUGAAAUGCGCAGAUAUCAGGAGGA